rnacentral:rRNA from 1 species
GAUGAACGCUGGCGGCGUGCUUAACACAUGCAAGUCGAACGAAACACCUUAUUUGAUUUUCUUCGGAACUGAAGAUUUGGUGAUUGAGUGGCGGACGGGUGAGUAACGCGUGGGUAACCUGCCCUGUACAGGGGGAUAACAGUCAGAAAUGACUGCUAAUACCGCAUAAGACCACAGCACCGCAUGGUGCAGGGGUAAAAACUCCGGUGGUACAGGAUGGACCCGCGUCUGAUUAGCUGGUUGGUGAGGUAACGGCUCACCAAGGCGACGAUCAGUAGCCGGCUUGAGAGAGUGAACGGCCACAUUGGGACUGAGACACGGCCCAAACUCCUACGGGAGGCAGCAGUGGGGAAUAUUGCACAAUGGGGGAAACCCUGAUGCAGCGACGCCGCGUGAGUGAAGAAGUAUCUCGGUAUGUAAAGCUCUAUCAGCAGGGAAGAAAAUGACGGUACCUGACUAAGAAGCCCCGGCUAACUACGUGCCAGCAGCCGCCGCGG